AACGAACGCUGGCGGCGUGCCUAACACAUGCAAGUCGAGCGCGAAAAGGGCAACCUGAGUAGAGCGGCGCACGGGUGCGUAACACGUGGGUAAUCUGCCUUAGAGUCGAGGAUAACCUUCCGAAAGGUUGGCUAAUACUCGGUAAGCUUACGGUGUCUUCGGACGCUGUGGGAAAAGUAGGCCUCUGUUUACAAGCUUACGCUCUGAGAUGAGCCCGCGGCCCAUCAGCUAGUUGGCGGUGUAACGGACCACCAAGGCAACGACGGGUAGCUGGGCUGAGAGGACGAUCAGCCACACUGGAACUGAGACACGGUCCAGACUCCUACGGGAGGCAGCAGUGGGGAAUGUUCCACAAUGGGCGAAAGCCUGAUGGAGCAACGCCGCGUGUGUGAUGAAGGUUUUCGGAUCGUAAAGCACUUUCGACUGGGACGAAAAACCUUUGGCUAACAUCCAGGGGCCUGACGGUACCAGGAGAAGAAGCACCGGCUAACUCUGUGCCAGCCGCCGCGGUAAUAC
rnacentral:rRNA from 1 species